CACGAUUCAGUCGUGUCCUCCUCCUCCGUCCCGCUCCCAAAACACUGAACGCUGGCACCUUGUGUCGGUGGUAUCGGUUUCCCACUCUUUGCAGGUCUUUCCUGGGACCUGCAAGGAGUGCAACCGAGGGAAGAGUGAGAAACCAACCUUAUGUCUUCGUGUGUACCGCAGGUUAUUAGCUACUCUGAGAACUGAAGGACUUUACCCACACUGACAAAGCUAUGCACCGUGACCCCAAGAUCAACGUUAAGCUUAUACUGAUACAAAGAAAGAUUUGGACAACAAAAAUAGUGGUUGGAACUGCUCCAGUGCAGAAAGCUUCAAAAUAACUGACUGACUAGGGAGGAAAGAGAGGAGAGCCUGCAGGAUAUACCGAGAUUUGGGCAACAAGAACGACUUAAGACUGGUUUGGCAGCUAGCAGAUCGCUUUU